rnacentral:rRNA from 1 species
AAUGGGCGCAAGCCUGAUCCAGCCAUGCCGCGUGAGUGAUGAAGGCCCUAGGGUCGUAAAGCUCUUUCGCCUGUGAAGAUAAUGACGGUAGCAGGUAAAGAAACCCCGGCUAACUCCGUGCCAGCAACCGCGGUAAUACGGAGGGGGUUAGCGUUGUUCGGAAUUACUGGGCGUAAAGCGCGCGUAGGCGGAUUAGUCAGUCAGAGGUGAAAUCCCAGGGCUCAACCCUGGAACUGCCUUUGAUACUGCUAGUCUUGAGUUCGAGAGAGGUAAGUGGAAUUCCGAGUGUAGAGGUGAAAUUCGUAGAUAUUCGGAGGAACACCAGUGGCGAAGGCGGCUUACUGGCUCGAUACUGACGCUGAGGUGCGAAUGUGUGGGGAGCAAACAGGAUU